AACGCCUAAACUCAUGACGUGUGGUCAAAUCAGAGUGAGGGAUAUUUCCUCCAUGUAGAUUGGCUUCUGUAGGAUCUAAAUAAUUUGCAAAAAAAAAUGUAAGAAAAGAAAAUAACUAUAAAAAUAUAUAUAUAGGUACAAAUAUAUACAUACAUAUACAUAUAAUAUGUAUAUGUAUAUAUAGAUAUAUAUUGUUCGUUUGUUAGACACCGCUAAUUUAAUACUUAUUUGUCAUGCAAGAAUUAUGAUUUUAAUUCAUUAAUGAUAUAGGCUUGACACUUGAUGAU
rnacentral:lncRNA from 1 species